CAGUCGCCGCGGGAAAACGUAGGGUGCAAGCGUUAUCCGGAAUUAUUGGGCGUAAAGAGCUCGUAGGCGGUCUGUCGCGUCUGCUGUGGAAACUGGGGGCUCAACCCCCAGCCUGCAGUGGGUACGGGCAGACUAGAGUGCGGUAGGGGAGAUUGGAAUUCCUGGUGUAGCGGUGGAAUGCGCAGAUAUCAGGAGGAACACCGAUGGCGAAGGCAGAUCUCUGGGCCGUAACUGACGCUGAGGAGCGAAAGCAUGGGGAGCGAACAGGAUUAGAUACCCCCGUAGUCCCUGUCUCUUAUAC
rnacentral:rRNA from 1 species